rnacentral:lncRNA from 1 species
AUGAUGACCAUCACUCUACCAACAAGGAUUGGCCAGACUCGCGCUGUUUGUUCCAGACCAGGACUCUGGCUGAGGAGAGCUGAUGGAGGAGCCAAUACUCUGGAGGACGACAUCACUCUACCAACCAGGAUCCUCAGACAAAUUGCGUUUGUAACCAGACCAGGAAUCUGGAGGACUGAUGGAGAUGCCGUACAUCUGGAAGGCAAAUCCUGAGGAGAACCAGGACUCUAUCUAUCUGGACAUAGUGGACUAGACACACCUGAGCUGAACCUCACCUGAUCCUGUUUGGUCGGGGGUAUACACACCUGAGCAGAACCGCCCUGAUCCUGACAUCCUGCUGGUCCCGUCUCCUCAGUUCAUCUGAGCCUCGUCCUCCAGAAGACCUGCUGAGCUCAGCAGUCUGAGGCUGAUGGAUCAAUGAACUCCAGUGGGAGUAAUCUUCUUGACCCCACAUGUAGCCGUGUGCUUCCAGAGCGCCUUUCCCUCACGUCUGUCACUAACCUCACUACUUCACUACUCUCUACUGCUUCCUCUUUUUUUCCUUCUCUGUGCUUCAAGCCUUUACACUGAAGGCGUGUCUUCCUGCCCUCAGAGGGUUCAGCGUUAGGGUUGAGAGUCAGGGUUUAGUGUCAGGGACAGAACUGGUCAGGGAGGACUGCUUUUACACAAACCUCUUCACUUGCUUUCGGAAUGGUGGUGACAUUUUGAUAAGAUUAAUUUGGGAAAUUUUUUUCCUCUGCUUUCCUUUACAAAAUUGUGUUCAACUUCUGUCAAGUGUUUUUGUUUAUAUAUUAAAAUCCCA